AAUAAACACAAAUAUGAAACUUACCUUUCUUUCAUUAGGCUAUUAUGGGCUAGGUUAGAAUAAAGAGGGAAGGAAAGAAGAGAAUAGCAUUUUUUCUCAUUGGAACCCACGGCUAGAGAGAGAGAGAGAGAGAGAGGAAGAGCACAGCUAGAGAGAUAGAGAGGAAGAGCACGAGCUAGAGAGAGAAAGGAAGAAGGAAAGAAAGAAAGAAACAAGGAGAGGAAGAAGAAGAAGGGAUUCAAAAUCCCUAGGUGUAGGGUUCAAAAAUUAUAGGUGCUCAAGAGGAGAAUCAACCUUGUGGUAUUGAUUUCUAUCAAGGAGGUAGAAAAUAGGGUUUCUCAUUGGCACGCAUGGUGAUGUGGGGUGUUCCGACGUCAUGGUGUGUAUGACAUGGGGGUAUCCUAUGGGCAAACAAACGAUCAGCUUAAAACGCCAAAAAUUUAAAGGACGGUGUUAUGUUUUUAUUUUGAUUUCCAAAUUUGUCAGUGAGACUUGAACUAUAUUUAUUUUUAAAACGUUGCAUGAAAAGUUUUAUUUUUUUUUAAACUAUUGAGUCCAACUUGCAUGUUUUAGCAAGGCCCCACUUAAAUUUUCAUAUAAUAAGUGGUUUUCUUCUGUAAGUUUAUGAGCGUAUAGAUGUUUUACAAAGUAUUAGUUUAGGGCAUUUUACAGAUAUUUUGUUGAAAGUCUUAUGGUCAUAUCGAACUAUUGCUCGAACAUCAACGGUGUUGGAAAAAUAAUUAGAGUGCACAACAAAAAUGGCGUGGUGGGCCCAGUGUGAUAACACAAAAAAUUUCCAUCUCUCAUAUAAACAUUUUAUAUGUUCAAGAAAACAUCCAGACAGAAACAUUAAUAUGCAAUAUCAUUAAUCAUGUAACAUAUAUAUAAUUAUACAUAUACUUAUAUAUAUCAUAUACACAUAUAUACAAAUAUUCAAGCUUAGAAAAAUUUACCUCUUGAAGCUUAUCAAGUGUCCUUGAGUCUUUUCGUAUAUUUAUCGAUCUUCCAGAGUGUUCUCUACACUGCAAGAUGUGUGUGGACAUAUAGAGAAUAAGGGUUUGUAAUUUAGAAAUCACAAGU